UAAGAUAGUACUUUUCCACUAAGGCCAA
rnacentral:piRNA from 1 species